rnacentral:rRNA from 1 species
UACGGAGGGUGCAAACGUUGCUCGGAAUCAUUGGGCGUAAAGCGCACGUAGGCGGACUGCUAAGUCGGAUGUGAAAGCCCUCGGCUUAACCGAGGAAGUGCAUUCGAAACUGACAGUCUUGAGUAUGGAAGAGGGUCGCGGAAUUCCCGGUGUAGAGGUGAAAUUCGUAGAUAUCGGGAGGAACACCAGUGGCGAAGGCGGCGACCUGGGCCAAUACUGACGCUGAGGUGCGAAAGCGUGGGGAGCAAACAGGA